rnacentral:lncRNA from 10 species
UUUUACUUCAAAACAUCCUUACCUUAAUAUUUGACUUAGAAGCUAGUUUUAUUUCCUGUUGAUGUAGGAGUUCUUUGAAAAUAUUAAUCUAGAAUUUCAUAUGUUUUCCGUUUUGCCUGAAUUGUGCUUGGGUUUAUUUAAGAUUUUCAGUUUGGUUUUAGCUAGAGCUGCAUGUCAUAGGCUUGUCUCUAGAGGGCAGUACAGUACCAUCAAAGAAACACAUGGCUUUUUCUGCUAGUAACGCACAAUUGGUGUUUCUGUUUCUAUAAAGAUGACCUUCAUGUGUCGAUGAUAAUGUCUUCUCUUUUCAUUAUUUCCCCUUUUGACCCACUCUUCAGACAUUUGAUCACUAAUUAUAUCCAGCAUCAAAGUGAAGUUUGUAAAACAUCAAAGUAGCUACACGGUGCUGGAUCAGGUCCUGGGUACUACAAUAUCUUAGUAGCCAUUACAUUUUAUAUUUUUAUGAUAACAAUAAACGUAGCCUAGAAUAUUAAGAAUUCCUGGUCUUGGACCCACACAUUAUUGGGGCACCUAGUAUAGAAACUGAGUUCUGAAUAGCACUUUAAAUUAACACCGUACAUCUAAAUAUUAACAGUCUCCAGGUAGCAUUUAUUGUUACUUCUCAAUUAAUACACUUUAUUUUACCCUGAGCAUUAUGAUGUUUUGCUAUUAUUGGCAGGUUCAAGAAGAUGCUAGGAACUUGCCAUCCCUUUCCUCCGUCAAGCCGUUUAAACCUCCUGAAAUGCACCUGUGACCCUUUGCUUCUGUUGAUAGAUUUGAUAGCAUGAGAAGAAUGGAUUUGAAAGGCGAUAAUGGAAAGGAUGCAGAGGCACCAAUUUGGAAUUUACUGUGAUGUUUUAGGCAAGAGACGGUUUUGGCAUCUUGUCUAUUAUGGCCGUGUACCACCUUCAUGUCCAGGGAAAGGAGCAGUAGUGUGCUGUGUAAGAGGCAGAUUUGCUGAGAGCUGUUCAGGUACACCUGGAAUCAUAUUCAGUUCAGGCUAAAGCAGUAUAUUCCACACCAUUCACAGGUCAGUUUGUGGCAAAAAGAGCAUACUUUCUCUCUUGUGUUUUAUUUUUUAUUUUAAGUUUCAGGGUACAUGUGCAAGAUGUGCAGAUUUGUUACAUAGGUAAAUGUGUGUCACGGUGGUUUGUUGCACCUAUCAACCCAUCACCUAGGUAUUAAGCCCAGCAUGCAUUAGCUAUUUUUCCUGAGAAUAUAGCUUCUCUGUUUUAUGUAACUUGUUUGAGGGCCUGGGGCUAACCCUGAAAUUUGGCAGAAAUGUCUUCUUCUGGACCCUCUCUUUCAUUUUAAAAGGUAUUGCUCUUCGUGCUGGGCAGUGCUUAUUGCAGGCUUAGUGUUCCAGCUUUUCCCUGGUGCUCUUGGCUGGGUCUGUGUGCAAAUGCCACUGCUGCACUGGAUUCAGGUCUGCUGAAGGGUGCCUACUGGCUCCUUAUAAAGAGAUUGUAGAUGCCUAUGAAGAUCUGUUCUCCCAUUUCAAAGGGUCUUUUGUUGUUUUACACCUUUCCUUCAUACUUUCCAUCCCUGAAUGUGAGCUUGAAAUGUGUCUCCUUUGAUCAUCCUUAGAUUUUGACUGUCUUAGUCCAUCUGGGUUACUAUAACAGAAUAUCAUAGAUUGGGUGGUUUAACAACAAGAAACACUUAUUUCUCAUAGUUCUGGAGGCUGGGAAGUCCAAGAUCAAGGCAUUGGCUGAUUCUGUGUCUGGUGAGGGCACCCUUGCUGGUUUAUAGAUGCCCAUCGUAUCACUGUAUUCUCAUAUGGCAGAAGGGGGAAGGGAGCUCUCUGGGGUCUCUUUUAUAAAGGCAAUAAUCCUAUUCAUGAGUUCUCUGCUCUCAUGACUUAAUCACCUCCCAAAGGCCUUGCUUCCAAAUACCAUCAUAUUAGGGAUUAGGUUUCAACAUACACAUUUUAGAGGGACAUACACAUUCAGUUUGUAGCAGAGUAAUUAAUCCUGUAUUGGGUAUUUUGGGAAAGAAGGCCCUGUGCCCCAAUUUUGAACUUUGGUGGGCCUUGGGAAGUUGUAGUUGUGUUUCUCUGCAUCAUCACCUUGAUUCAGUUAGUUUUUGUGUCUUUUGCUAUGUAAACUAAGAACCCAAUUUUAUGGAGUAAAAUCAUUUACAUUAGCUCCACAAAGGUUAGAAGAGUAUUGCAAAGCAUAACCUUGACAGCCUUGCCCACAUUUUUGGCUGUACUUUGGAAACUGGAAGGGAUUCCAACUGAUGAGCCUCCAAAUGUCAGUUCCUCACUCAAUAUCCUAAUCCAUUUUAUCUAAUCCUGUGGCAAGACCCAAUUUCUACUCUGUGUCUCUUGGUCCUGCUCCUAGGUGCCAUUUUUUUUCCUCUGAUAUUUAUAUUGGGGUGCUCCAAUAGCUGUCUUAUAAGCUGCUUGCAUGAGAUUGCACUGCUCUGGCUCUUUAACACAUUCUCUGAAACAGAGGUCCUUGAGUAUAACAUCAGGAAAUAAAAAGUGAAGUGAGUGGCUUCAUUCUUAGUGGCAGCAUGUGCGUGAUGGGACAGCAUUUCAAGGUAUUAAUCUAUGCACCCCAGGGAUCAUCCAUCAAAUUAUUUCACUUGUGACCUCAAGAUCUUUUUCCUCCCCUGGUCCUCUCAGAUACACAUGGGUCACCCAGAAACACAGGCUGUAAACACGUCAUUAUUAGGCUAAAGAAAAGUUGAUGGCCUAAGCGGGAAUGAUUUGAAAGCACACUUUCAGAGUUUUUCUACUUUUGGUUAAAUGAUGCCUUGGGUGGAAAAGAGUAGGAGAAGAAGGACAGGAUCCAUGCAGAUAUGAAUGUACACUGGGGUGGUGUUUCUGAGGCAGGACCAAAUGGUUUACAGUCCAUUCAUUAGCAUGUAUUCAAAAUACUCAACGACUUAUUCCAUUUGUUGAUGAUAAUAUUUGCUAUUUCUAGAGAUGAGCCCAAAUGCCUUUGCAGAAAUGCUUUAACUAUUAGGGUUAACUCUUUCCAAUGAGUUUUGCUCCAUUCAUAUAUGAAGCGAGGAUGACUUUUUGGUUUUACGUAGUUCAUGGCUGCUAAGGAUAAAACUUAGGGGGGUAGUGGCUCAGGCUGUCAGUCAUACUGCCUUACCUUGGGGUCCCCAAGAUUGGAAACAUUCCAACUUGUUUCCCCCUGAGCAUUCCAAAUUAUUUCCCCUUUGUUGCUGAGUGUAGUAUAAAUUGCCAAGGGUAGAGCUGGCACAGAGAUUAUUUACAUUUCUGUUGUUACAUCUAUUUGAUAAAUUCCUUUUUUUAAAUUUUUUAAAAUUUUUAUUAUUAUAUUUUAAGUUCUAGGGUACAUGUGCACAAUGUGCAGGCUUGUUGCAUAUGUAUACCUGUGCCACAUACUGUUUCUUCUUUGCUGGUUUAAGUUUAUACAUUUCUAACAAUUUAUUAUAAUUAUCCUGUAAUAAUAAUAAUAAUAACGUGUAGGAAUGUAGGGGUGAUUAUUACCAUAACUCUGUAACUCAGCUCUCCUAAGCUAUUGCUAGUGAAGCCAAUGAUAGAAAGAUGUGGGCCGGGCGCGGUGGCUCAAGCCUGUACUCCCAGCACUUUGGGAGGCCAAGAUGGGCGGAUCACGAGGUCAGGAGAUCGAGACCAUCCUGGCCAACACGGUGAAACCCCGUCUCUACUAAAAAAAAAUACAAAAAACUAGCCGGGCGAGGUGGCGGGCACCUGUAGUCCCAGCUACUCGGGAGGCUGAGGCAGGAGAAUGGCGUGAACCUGGGAGGCGGAGCUUGCAGUGAGCCGAGAUCGCGCCACUGCACUCCAGCCUGGGCGACAGAGAGAGAUUCCUUAUUUAAAAAAAAAAGAAAGAAAGAAAGAUGUGUACAUUAACUUUGCCAAUAAUUAUCCUCGUUUUUUUUUUUUUUUAAUUGAGGGA